rnacentral:rRNA from 1 species
UACGUAGGCAGCGAGCGUUGUUCGGAGUUACUGGGCGUAAAGCGCACGUAGGCGGCUUUGUAAGUUAGAGGUGAAAGCCCGGGGCUCAACUCCGGAACUGCCUUUAAGACUGCAUCGCUUGAAUCCAGGAGAGGUGAGUGGAAUUCCGAGUGUAGAGGUGAAAUUCGUAGAUAUUCGGAAGAACACCAGUGGCGAAGGCGGCUCACUGGACUGGUAUUGACGCUGAGGUGCGAAAGCGUGGGGAGCAAACAGG